UCUGUGUUUUUUGAUCUAUUAUAUCUGCUUUUGAUCAAUUAUUGCAAGUUCUUUUUCCUCAUAAAAAUGAAUUCUCAAUGGGGAUAUAGAUAUAUUUUAAGGUUCCUGUCAAAGAUAUGUUUUGGUUUGGAAUAUGAAAUUCAGAUGUUGAAGGGUUCAAUGAAUGCAAUAUUCCUGCAUCAUUGGGUAUGUCUUCCUGUUUGUAGGGAUUGGUAGUGGCUGUAUUAUUAUGUUGAAUUCCUGCCAUUUGGCAUGCUGAUCAUAUUUCAAGAUGGCAGCAGUACAUACUCUGUUUUUUUUUUUUUUUGGGUCUUUACAACACAACACACCCACGUUUUACACACCCUACAUGGGUUCCUUUUUCCAUUACUGGCUAAAGCCAGAUUCGAACCUGGAUGUGGCUGUUUGGGGGGGCAUACGAUAUGCCACUUGAACCAAGCCUCCAACUGCAGUCCAUGCUCUUGAAUAACUUCUUUGGAUUCCAUUGCAAAGCCAACAUCCUCUGCAGUUUUGAGCUUGCUUAGAUCUUGUGGGGAGGUGGCAGCAAUUGGGCAUGACAAAAGUCUCAAAUGCGGUUAUGGUGGUAAUGGUGUGUUGUUGAUUUUGUAGAGGGUUUUGGGAAAAAUUCCUAGCAAUGUCCAACAUUGACAUGGCUACGGUGG